rnacentral:rRNA from 1 species
GACGAACGCUGGCGGCGUGCUUAACACAUGCAAGUCGAGCGGUAAGGCCCUUUCGGGGGUACACGAGCGGCGAACGGGUGAGUAACACGUGGGUGACCUGCCCUCAGCUCUGGGAUAAGCCUGGGAAACCGGGUCUAAUACCGGAUAUGACUCCAUGACGCAUGUUGUGGGGUGGAAAGCCUUGUGCGGCUGAGGAUGGGCCCGCGGCCUAUCAGCUUGUUGGUGGGGUGAUGGCCUACCAAGGCGACGACGGGUAGCCGGCCUGAGAGGGCGACCGGCCACACUGGGA